rnacentral:lncRNA from 1 species
UGUUGGAGUGCCUCUGCUGACAGCUCCGACCCUCGCUUCAGGGCCCGGCCGUGUGCGAGGGGCCGGCCCGGGGCCCUUUGGGCUCUCGGCGGAGCUUUGGAAGCCUCGGGCCCGGCGGCGCCGCUCGGUUCGGUUUGGCUCGGUAAGAAGAAUCUACAUCAUGAACUGAAGACACAAUCUGGAGGAAAUGAUAGAGAUGGAGAAGGACCAGCUAUAAAUAUCAGAAGGUUCACACCAGAACAGUGAGGAAAAGGCAGAUGUGGUUGUAGAGCAUGUCCAGCAAGCUGCCUGAGAUGAAGAGCUCCUCUGAGGCUGCUCCUGAGCUGCUCCUGGGUCAGUUCACUCUGCCAGCCUCAUGUUCACUGCUGUGUGCAGAGGUUCAGGUGCUCUUUCCUCUCUGCUCCACGGAGAUCUCUUCCCAGCAGGAAGCCUGAGCAGGCCCAGGCUAUCAUCAGCUGAUUUAACACAGAUUCAGUUCAGAUCAACACUUAGCUUUCCAUUCAAUAAACACAGUCAUCCUGUGGGACUUGGCUCUUGCAGUGAAACCACAGAUCCAGAAGAGUGUGGGAGUCCAGCUCAGGGAACAGCAUCUUUUGGGACCAUUGAACAACAGGUAAGAAACAUGUCUGCUGUUCUGGAAAAUGAUUAUUG